UAACAGAGGAAGCAGUGUUACUAUUCUUCAAAGCCUUCCUAGCUUCAGCAAUAGAGAAUUUAAACAGGAAGCUUCUGAAGAUGGAGACAACUCAAAGAAAUGUCCCUACUUACCUUGCCCUGUCGAUCUUUAACUUGUUGUGUUGCUGCCUCCCGCUUGGAAUAGCUGCUCUCAUCUUUUCUCUCAGAGUAGAGAAUGCAGCUGGGACAGGUGACAUGGAGCGAGCGUCCCAAGCUUCCCGCACUGCCCGCAUGCUGAAUAUCAUCGGGAUUGUCGUAGGAGUAAUUUUCCUCAUCAUUAUAAUUGUCGUACUGGUAGUGGGGAAAACCGCCAAGUGAUAGAAGCCAGCGUCAUCUUCGAAAAACUCACCGGUGCUGGGCAACAGCCAUGUAUCCAGUGCGAGCCCUCCUACCUACUCAAAGAGCCAACUGGGCGCAAAAAGGGGAGUCCUCGGCACCACUGAGACUGCCAGCCAGACGCUGCGUCAUGCACAAGCACCAGCCUGUCCUUUUAGAAGCAUUUCUCCAUAAUUAAUUGCUUUGCGCUUUUGAAUUAACCAGAUUAACAUGUUUUUCUCUAUUGGUACGCAAAUAUAUUGUAACAAGAUACAAUAAAAAAGGAUUUGUAUACAA